rnacentral:rRNA from 1 species
AGGUUUUCGGAUCGUAAAGCUCUGUUGUAAGAGAAGAACGAGUGUGAGAGUGGAAAGUUCACACUGUGACGGUAUCUUACCAGAAAGGGACGGCUAACUACGUGCCAGCAGCCGCGGUAAUACGUAGGUCCCGAGCGUUGUCCGGAUUUAUUGGGCGUAAAGCGAGCGCAGGCGGUUAGAUAAGUCUGAAGUUAAAGGCUGUGGCUUAACCAUAGUACGCUUUGGAAACUGUUUAACUUGAGUGCAAGAGGGGAGAGUGGAAUUCCAUGUGUAGCGGUGAAAUGCGUAGAUAUAUGGAGGAACACCGGUGGCGAAAGCGGCUCUCUGGCUUGUAACUGACGCUGAGGCUCGAAAGCGUGGGGAGCAAACAGGAUUAGAUACCCUGGUAGUCCACGCCGUAAACGAUGAGUGCUAGGUGUUAGACCCUUUCCGGGGUUUAGUGCCGCAGCUAACGCAUUAAGCACUCCGCCUGGGGAGUACGACCGCAAGGUUGAAACUCAAAGGAAUUGACGGGGGCCCGCACAAG